rnacentral:rRNA from 1 species
GACGAACGCUGGCGGCGUGCCUAAUACAUGCAAGUCGAACGCAGUGGGGACGGGUGAGUAACACGUGGGUAACCUCCCAUCAGAGGGGAUAACCCUUGGAAACAGGUGCUAAACCGAUACUGAUGGAUGGACCCGCGGUGCAUUAGGUAGUUGGUGAGGUAACGGGGCACCAAGGCCACGAUGCAUAGCCGACCGGAGAGGGUGAUCGGCCAAAACGGGACUGAGAAAAGGCCCAGAAUCCUACGGGAGGCAGGAGUAGGGAAUCUUCGGCAAUGGACGAAAGUCUGACCGAGCACAGCCGCGGGAGUGAAGAAGGUUGUCGGAUCGUAAAGCUCUGUUGUUAGAGAAGCGGUAACUAACCAGAAAGGGACGGCUAACUACGUGCCAGCAGCCGCGGUAAUAC